rnacentral:tRNA from 1 species
GGCUCCAUAGCUCAAAGAAAUAGCAGCGCCCGUCUAUCGAAUGGGGAGUUGUGGGUUCGAUUCCCACCGGAGCAU